UUGAGAUAAGUUUGGUUAGGUUGUUGCUGGCUUCUUAGGAGUAUGUGCACGCCUACGCCAUCUUUAACCACUGUGCACUUUGUGUAGGUUUAGAUACUUGAGAAUGGCUUAGGUUGUUCUCGUAUCUAGGUCUAUGUAUUUAUACACUAUAAAAGUCUUAGAAUGUUGUAUAUAGGCCGUUGUGCCUUUAAAAUACAAAA
rnacentral:misc_RNA from 1 species